UUUUUAACCAGGUUUUCCGAAGGAAAAAACUGGUUAUUAGAUUGGCGAAUGCGGGCGGGCUGGCUGGCUGGCGGGCUGGCUGGCUGGCGGGCUGGCGGAAUAAGCUUGUCCGGGCCAUAACUAUGUCGUUCAUUGUCAGAUUUUAAAAUCAUUUGGCACAUUUGUUCACCAUCAUUGGACGGUGUGUCGCGCGAAAUAAUUACGUCGAUAUCUCCAAGGUCAAGGUCACACUUUGAGUUCAAAGGUCAAAAAUGGCCAUAAAUGAGCUUGUCCUGGCCAUAACUAUGUCAUUCAUUGUGAGAUUUUAAAAUCAUUUGGCACAUUUGUUCACCAUCAUGGGACGGUGUGUCCCACGAAAGAAUCACGUCAAUAUCUCCAAUGUCAAGGUCGCCACGACUAAAAAUAGAUUUAAAAAAAAAAAAAAAAUUACAAAGGGGGUUAAUUUUUUUUGGUCAUUUCAAAAGUUCA